CACCAUAAAACCCAAAAGCAAAUAUUUCUUCCAAAUCAACAUCCGCCGGCUACUAAACACUUUAAGCAUCUGCAACUUCCGGUGACUCUCCCGCCGCCAGUAGCAACUCUUCCUCUUCAAGUCCAACCUUUCUUUCUCCCAUCUCUCCUUCAUCCCCAAUGCUGUUCGCCUCUCCCAAUGACUUUAGUGCCAAGUGUGCUGCCUUCUGCCCUGAUAUCAUCAUCGCCCCGAACGUUGGCCCCUAUGAAUGGCACAGUUUAAGACUAAUAAAUAUGGGUAUAACGAAAUCUUUCGGUGGUAGCAUCUAAUGCAGAUAGCUACCGGAGUAAACAAGUUAGUAGUGAUAGACCCAGAUAAACUCUGAAAAGUGUAAACUCAUCUAAAUGCUGCUAUAUUUUACUGUAUCAUGAUUAUUAAACGGUCUAAAGCAAUAAUCUCUCUCUAGUUAAUUUGUUUACCAUUCUUGGAGCUCCAUCGAUCUCCGCAACCUCCAUGCCGGUGACAAUCAUGCCAGGAACGACCUCUCGAGUGAAUCGAACAAUGGCAUCCUCAGCAGUGUUCAUGUCAAGGGCCUUCAUUCCCGGGACACUAUCAAUCAUGCCGAUGCUCUUGAGGCGCUUGACUCCGGUAGCGCCAAAAGGUCCAUCGUGGCCACAAGAGCUCACAACCACCUUAGCCUCCAUCACAUUGGGGUCCAUGCAGGACUGCGUGUCAUGGUUCAUUGACACAAGAGCCCAGUUGGUGACAACACCGCCAACUCUGCCGCCCUUGACAAUCAAAUCCUCUGCCGCCACGGCGUUGAACAGCUUCACGUUCGGCCGGGCCAAGAGCUUGCUCAUGAUCGUCGACGUGAACAGAGCCGCGUGCUUUAUCACGACAUAGUCGUCUUGCUCGUCAUACUCCACACCCACCUCAUCCAAGAACAAAUGAGCUGGCUUACGAACCACCUAUCAAACAUUAAAUUUAACCAACAUCAAUCAGAUGAACAAGAUCAGAAUAUUUGUCUGCGAUGAAAAUUAAUCUAAUUUUUUAGGGGAUCACAAGAUCUGUAAACUAUUUCCCCUCAAAUUAAUGAUUAUGAUAUUAGUUUCUGGGUUUCUUUAUUUCUGAUCUCUAUUAAAAAGAAAUGAUUUUUUUUAGUCCAAAUACGGCAUGCAUGAAAGCUGAUUGGGUGAUUUUCAAAAUUUUGGUAUUUUCAAGAAAAGAACAAAACAUAAAAUAAAAACAGAGCAUCCAUUCAAAUUUGGAAAGUGAACUUGUUACCAUAGCAGAGAAGAGUUGGCCGCCGAGCCAUGCACCGCCACCGGGGCUGACGGAUUGUUCGAUGAUGGCAAUACGAAUAUUGGGGUUUUUGCUGAGUUCGUAAGCGCAAGAGAGGCCGGCGGAGCCAGCGCCGACGAUGACAACGUCAGUAUCAGCGUAGGUGAUCAUAUCGGUCAUGUAUCGACGGGUCAUCUCUCGAGAGACAAUAGAUUCUCUGAUAGGGUUGAAUUUGAAUUGGUUUAAAUCGUAGGGAGGCUGAGAGGCGGAGGCAGAGAUGGUGAGGGACGUGGCGGCGGUGGAUUUGAGGCGGAGAGAAGAAGGAGAGGCGAGAGGUGUGCCAUGGAAAGAGGAAUCAUGAAGUAAAGAAGGUUUUUGGAGCUUGGUGGUGAGAGUGGAGGCAAUGGAAGCCAUUUUUGAAGCAGAGGAAAACAGAGGAGAUUGUAGUUUGGUGUGGGGAAGAAGAGGGGAAGGAAGAAGGGUUUUAUAGAGGAUAUUGAAGAAUGUAACAAUAUCUUACACGCUUGCAUGUAUGAUGCAUACAUUACCUAUGCAUGUAUUUCAAACAUUGAUGCAUAUAAUCGAGAUUUUCAUUUAUCCAUGUAUUUCUCUUUUUACUUUUUUUAACAUAUGAUAUAUUAAACAUAGGUUUAGCAAUAAGUAACUAAAAUUAGUGUUAUUGUAAUAAAAUUACAUUAAUUUUGAUCAUAUUUACUUACACAUUUUACAAAUGUCUUAUCCAAAUAGUUCACUUUAUGUUGUCUUCUUACUAUUGCUCUUAUUAUCAAGGGUCAACAUAUUUAUAAUUCUCUUCUUCUAAUAGUAACACCAUAAUAUCCCCUAAUGAGUUGCAUGUAAUUUCAAAUGCAUUUAGAGAUUGGUCAUCUUAUCUCUAUAAUUAGAUUGCAUUACAAAUUUGUUUGUGAGGACACCAUUUUUUCUACAAUUACAGAAUAAAUGUAAACAACAAACCUAAUUAAAUGAGACACCCUUUUCAAAUUCUCGUUUGAUUGGUUACAUUUUCCGAGUGUAUAGUCACUCUAAUUUUAUACUGUUGCAACCAAUCCAAAACCAAAUCAAAUUAAUUGACUUUAUUAAAUAGAGAACCAAAGAUGCCCAAUAGAAGAUAGAAUCUUUUUUUUUUUUUUUUUUUUUUUUUGGGUUUCUAACCAAUGGAGUCUUCUUUUCUUUCAACUUUUACUUUGAAUGGGUUACCUUUUUUUACCAUUUUUAUAGAUAAUUAUGAAAAAAGAAGUAUCCAUUGGCAUAAUAUUUGAGUUUAUUAUCACUACAGUUUUCAAGCGAUACGCUUUCUAUCCAAAUUGAAAUGGUUGGAUUUUGAUUGAUUUCUUGAUAAAAGUUCAAACCAAAAGAAUAAACUUUUUUAUUAUCUCUAAAUAAUAAAAAAAAAAAAACCCCAAUCAAAACAAGAAAUGAACUUGAUUGAAUUUGAAUUUGUUUUGUUUUUAUUUUCUUGAACUCGAGUGUAAGGAGUAUCCAAAAAUUAGGGUAAGAAAAGUUCAAAUAUUUGUUAAGUUGGGAAGAGAGAAAAUAUCUGGAAGGGGACACGUGGGAAGAAGAUAGGAAAUGAAGGGCUGAGAAUGAGGUGAUGGUGUUGGACACGCGGCAUCCAUGGCAGCCAUUUGUUAUUUCUUUUCUUUUUCUUUUGCCAAAAUGAGAUUUUUUUUUUUCUUUUUCCCAAUAAUAUGAUAUGUUUGUUGAUUUGCAAAAUAUGGAUUUGUGAUUGUGAAUCAUGAUAUGUCCGUUUCUUUCGUCAAGAUAUUUCACAUAAUCUUGUAAAAGAAAGAGAUGUUUAUAUAUAGGCCACUCAUUUUGCUUUUUACUCUUUAAACCAUUGCUACACAUUUUAAUGCGUCUUUUCAAAUAAUAAUAUUUAUGUUUAUUAAUCAUUGAUAUUUUUUUGUAUCUACUUUAAACAAGAUUAAGUAUAGAGAAAAUACAUUUACAUAAGGAAAUAUUUACAAAUUAGGAUCUAAAUGUAUUCUAUUUCCCUAAUUUAAACAACUAUAUAAUUUACGAUCACACUCUUUCUCAAACUCAAGGCGGUAAUGUAGCAAUCAACUUGAGUUUGUUAACCAAUUGAAGAAAAUGGCUAGAAGCCAAAGCUUUAAUGAAGAUAUCAACUGGUUGUUCAGUGUCGAAAUGGAGUGUAAGAGAAGAUUGGUGCUUCGAAGAUUAUGACAAACAAAAUGAUAAUCGUUUUUAAUAUGGUGGGUACUCUCGUGGAAGACAUCAUUGUGAACAAUAUGCAUGGUAUUAUAAUUAUGUCUUUAUACCCUUCUCUCGGCUCAAGCCUUUACCACACUCUUUUGUCAAGUUGCAGUUGUGCAGAGAAAUCUCAACGCACUUAGUAGUUACUAUGAAUUUCACUACGCAUAAUGUGUCUUCCAAUGCUAGAUCACAUAAAACGCAAAGGGUAUUCUAUACCAAAUCACAUAGUAGGUAUGAGAGACAUUUCAUACUAGAUCACACAACAAGUAUGAGUCAUCCUAUUCAAUAUCACACAAUAUGAAUAGGGCAUUAUACUCCAGAUCACACACUAGAAAUAGGGCAUCUCAUCUUAGAUCACACAGCAAGGACAAAACAUUCUAUCGCAUAGGGUACAAAAAUUAUCUUUUUCUAGGAAACAUUGAUUUCUCAUUUUCAUGUAAUACUAGCAUCAUCAAUAGCACAUGCCACAUAGUUUAACGUAAUUGCCUUAAAGGGACUUAAAGAGAUUGUUUUCAAGCAUUUCUUUUCAUUUGAAGGUUAUUCGAUAAGAUACUUUAUUAUGUACUCAAUCACCUUUUAUUAGUUUCAUAAUGAACCAAAUUCAUACAUAAGUCACACAUGUUUAUGGGAGUUGAAAAAGUAUAAGGAAAUCCAUGUAAACAAAUUUGUAAUAACGAUAGUUUUAAGGGUUCAAACAUAUUAGAAAUCCCUUUAUAUAUUUGAAAACAUUUGCAAGGGAGGAAAACCACUCACUGCUGCAGUGAGCUAGCUCUUCCUUCUAGCUUCCUUGACCAAGAGUUCUCCUGUGCUUUUCAGAUUCCUUGAAGGAAUGAGUUUUUCCUGCACCUUGAGACUUUGGUUAUCCUCCCCGUUCUCUCUUAAGAAACUUAAGGUAAAAACGUCUUCAGUUCGGUCUAAAAUCCUCAAUUUAUAUGUCUCUCUGGUGAAUUUUUUCAUGUCGAAAUGAUUACGCUUUACCGACGGUGAGGAGUGGCCUAAUCUCGAAAUGCCAUGUAUCUCUGUCCAAUCCUUAUCCUGAUCUAGAUUGGGUGGCGAGUCCAAUCAAUCAUCGACCUACUAACAUUAGGGUCACAUCACUGUUUCUUGAUGAGGUAGGUCAGAAUUGUCCAACUGUUCGACGCAUAACCUUCUUUGCAUGGGGACUUUCUAUUGCAUGAUCCUUUAGCGAGGCAUGGUUUACUAUCAGAAGUCUCUUUGCAAAACAUUCUUACCGCAAGGGAUUCCUUGUAUUGGGGGUACGCAAUCAGGGCCUUACACGCGAUUAGACAUUUUCCUUUAAAACACUAACCUUAUCUUCUUGGAGUGCUCAAUUCUUUAUCGCUUGACUCUCUUCUCGAAAAACAAUAGAACAUUUACUUUACCUCAUACGGUUGUCUAGUCAUCUCAUACAAACAUCCAUCCUUUCAAUAGAACACCUACUUCAUCGCAACAACACUUAGGUGCAAACACUUCUCCUCGAGUUACUACAUAGGACAUCUAGUUCUUUGCGUUAAAUGCAUGUUUCUUCUUUCCUAGCUAAUCAUCGCCUUGCUUCAAGGCAAUAGUUACUAUAAGUAUCUCUCGUUGUGUCACCUCUCCUUAAAGGCACCCUUCAUCGCAUAAUGCUUUUUACUUACAUUUAACUAAAAUGACUCUUAUUAACAGGGCUCCUCUUCAA
rnacentral:lncRNA from 1 species